GGGGACGUAAUGGUUUUGACAGGAUGUUUCGGUUGGAACAGGCAGCGAGUCCGGGAGCUGUGCCCGGUCAACAACGAGCAAAAAAAUAAGUGCUAAUAACACAAUUGAUGCCACAGAUGCAUUUGUUGCAAGACGUGCAUUGGCUGCGUAGUAGCAGUCGGCAACUUUACAUCACCCAGCUUGCCGGUGAGUAAGGUCCACGAUGCAAGUUGCAGUGUACUAAUGACGAUAGGUACAUCAAGACAAUCGUUAGGGGUUUAGAGUUUCCCUGAAAUAAAACCUAGGACUAAAUCAACGGUUACGGUAUUUUUCGGAUUUAGUUGAGUAAAAAAUGCCUACACUCGUAGAAACUUGUUUUAAUCCAUUUUGGACAGGGGUUCGACUCCCCUCGUCUCCACCA
rnacentral:tmRNA from 1 species